rnacentral:rRNA from 1 species
ACGAACGCUGGCGGCGUGCUUAACACAUGCAAGUCGAACGGAAAGGCCCUGCUUUUGUGGGGUGCUCGAGUGGCGAACGGGUGAGUAACACGUGAGUAACCUGCCCUUGACUUUGGGAUAACUUCAGGAAACUGGGGCUAAUACCGGAUAGGAGCUCCUGCUGCAUGGUGGGGGUUGGAAAGUUUCGGCGGUUGGGGAUGGACUCGCGGCUUAUCAGCUUGUUGGUGGGGUAGUGGCUUACCAAGGCUUUGACGGGUAGCCGGCCUGAGAGGGUGACCGGCCACAUUGGGACUGAGAGACGGCCCAGACUCCUACGGGAGGCAGAAGUGGGGAAUAUUGCACAAUGGGCGGAAGCCUGAUGCAGCAACGCCGCGUGCGGGAUGACGGCCUUCGGGUUGUAAACCGCUUUCGCCUGUGACGAAGCGUGAGUGACGGUAAUGGGUAAAGAAGCACCGGCUAACUACGUG